CACAAACGACUCUCGGCAACGGAUAUCUCGGCUCUCGCAUCGAUGAAGAACGUAGCGAAAUGCGAUACUUGGUGUGAAUUGCAGAAUCCCGUGAACCAUCGAGUCUUUGAACGCAAGUUGCGCCCAAAGCCAUUAGGCCRAGGGCACGCCUGCCUGGGCGUCACGCA
rnacentral:rRNA from 3 species